AAGCGGCAACAGCUCAAAUUUGAAAUCUGGCUCUUUCAGGGUCCGAGUUGUAAUUUGCAGAGGGUGCUUUGGUGUUGGCGGCGGUCUAAGUUCCUUGGAACAGGACAUCGCAGAGGGUGAGAAUCCCGUAUGUGGUCGCCUGCCUUCGCCGUGUAAAGCCCCUUCGACGAGUCGAGUUGUUUGGGAAUGCAGCUCUAAAUGGGAGGUAAAUUUCUUCUAAAGCUAAAUACCGGCCAGAGACCGAUAGCGCACAAGUAGAGUGAUCGAAAGAUGAAAAGCACUUUGGAAAGAGAGUCAAACAGCACGUGAAAUUGUUAAAAGGGAAGCGCUUGCAGCCAGACUUGCCUGUAGUUGCUCGCCUGGGCUUUUGCCCGGGUUACUCUUCUGCAGGCAGGCCAGCAUCAGUUUGGGCGGUCGGAUAAAGGUCCCUUUCACGUAUCUCCCUUCGGGGUUAACAUAUAGGGGGGACGUAAUGCGACCAGCCUGGACUGAGGUCCGCGCAUCUGCUAGGAUGCUGGCGUAAUGGCUGUAAGCGGCCCGUCUUGAAACACGGACCAAGGAGUCUAACAUCUAUGCGAGUGUUUGGGUGUCAAGCCCGAGCGCGUAAUGAAAGUGAACGGAGGUGGGAACCCCUCGGGGCGCACCAUCGACCGAUCCUGAUGUCUUCGGAUGGAUUUGAGUAAGAGCAUAGCUGUUGGGACCCGAAAGAUGGUGAACUAUGCUUGAAUAGGGUGAAGCCAGAGGAAACUCUGGUGGAGGCUCGCAGCGGUUCUGACGUGCAAAUCGAUCGUCAAAUUUGGGCAUAGGGGCGAAAGACUAAUC
rnacentral:rRNA from 1 species